GGAAAACAUGCACGAGUCUGACGGAGCAACGCCGCGUGAGUGAUGAAGGCUUUCGGGUCGUAAAACUCUGUUGUUAGGGAAGAACAAGUGCUAGUUGAAUAAGCUGGCACCUUGACGGUACCUAACCAGAAAGCCACGGCUAACUACGUGCCAGCAGCCGCGGUAAUACGUAGGUGGCAAGCGUUAUCCGGAAUUAUUGGGCGUAAAGCGCGCGCAGGUGGUUUCUUAAGUCUGAUGUGAAAGCCCACGGCUCAACCGUGGAGGGUCAUUGGAAACUGGGAGACUUGAGUGCAGAAGAGGAAAGUGGAAUUCCAUGUGUAGCGGUGAAAUGCGUAGAGAUAUGGAGGAACACCAGUGGCGAAGGCGACUUUCUGGUCUGUAACUGACACUGAGGCGCGAAAGCGUGGGGAGCAAACAGGAUUAGAUACCCUGGUAGUCCACGCCGUAAACGAUGAGUGCUAAGUGUUAGAGGGUUUCCGCCCUUUAGUGCUGAAGUUAACGCAUUAAGCACUCCGCCUGGGGAGUACUGCCGCAAGGCUGAAACUCGGAGGAAUUGACGGGG
rnacentral:rRNA from 2 species